rnacentral:rRNA from 1 species
CCUACGGGGCGCACCAGUGGGGAAUAUUGCACAAUGGGCGCAAGCCUGAUGCAGCCAUGCCGCGUGUAUGAAGAAGGCCUUCGGGUUGUAAAGUACUUUCAGCGGGGAGGAAGGUGUUGAGGUUAAUAACCUCAACAAUUGACGUUACCCGCAGAAUGAAGCACCGGCUAACUCCGUGCCAGCAGCCGCGGUAAUACGGAGGGUGCAAGCGUUAAUCGGAAUUACUGGGUGUUAAGCGCACGCAGGCGGUCUGUCAAGUCGGAUGUGAAAUCCCCGGGCUCAACCUGGGAACUGCAUUCGAAACUGGCAGGCUAGAGUCUUGUAGAGGGGGGUAGAAUUCCAGGUGUAGCGGUGAAAUGCGUAGAGAUCUGGAGGAAUACCGGUGGCGAAGGCGGCCCCCUGGACAAAGACUGACGCUCAGGUGCGGAAGCGUGGGGAGCAAACAGGAUUAGAUACCCCGGUAGUC